AUACAGAGGGUGCAAGCGUUAAUCGGAUUUACUGGGCGUAAAGCGCGCGUAGGUGGCUAAUUAAGUCAAAUGUGAAAUCCCCGAGCUUAACUUGGGAAUUGCAUUCGAUACUGGUUAGCUAGAGUAUGGGAGAGGAUGGUAGAAUUCCAGGUGUAGCGGUGAAAUGCGUAGAGAUCUGGAGGAAUACCGAUGGCGAAGGCAGCCAUCUGGCCUAAUACUGACACUGAGGUGCGAAAGCAUGGGGAGCAAACAGGAUUAGAUCCCCUGGUAGUCCAUGCCGUAAACGAUGUCUACUAGCCGUUGGGGCCCUUGAGGCUUUAGUGGCGCAGCUAACGCGAUAAGUAGACCGCCUGGGGAGUACGGUCGCAAGACUAAAACUCAAAUGAAUUGGCGGGG
rnacentral:rRNA from 1 species